GUGCCGAGCCGCCGCGGUAAUACGGAGGGUGCAAGCGUUGUUCGGAUUUACUGGGCGUAAAGCGCGCGCAGGCGGAUUAGCAAGUCAGAUGUGAAAUCCCGGGGCUCAACCCCGGAACUGCGUCUGAAACUGUUAGUCUAGAAUCUCAGAGGGGGCAGGGGAAUUUCACGUGUAGGGGUAAAAUCCGUAGAGAUGUGAAGGAACACCGGUGGCGAAGGCGCCUGCCUGGAUGAGUAUUGACGCUGAGGCGCGAAAGCGUGGGGAGCAAACAGGAUUAGAUACCCCAGUAGUCC
rnacentral:rRNA from 1 species